AGAAAAUGGGGUGGAACAGCGCUACAGUACUGAUCACAGGGGGAAUGAAGCUGCACACCUGAGGGGAAGGACAACCCUCAAACCCUUCAACAAAUCUGGGAGAACAGGAAAAGUAGUACAAUGAGAGAUAAUAUACACAGAAACAAGGAAGUACAAAAAGUCUCUGAAAAUGCAGUGUGGACCUUGGAUAGGUAUUCUUUGGUUCUU